UCCAAUAGUCUCUUUCAUACUCGGGGACGUUCCGCGGUCUUCUUUGAUAUUAUUAAACGUGAAGGCGGGUCGAUUAACGAAUUCGGCAAAAAAUGACGGUCAAUUAUGCAAUACGAUACAUUAUUGACAAUCCGUAAACACGGAUUUGUGUUGGAAAACAAAGAAGGGACGUUUUAAACGAAAAAUGUCGUAAAAGGCAGGUUAGCGUGUUGUGUUUGUUUUCGGUGUUUCGGUGGAAACGAUGGCCAACUCCCCGACCAGUAUAGAAACACAAAUAGACAGUUUUUUGGAGCAAUUUAAGAGGAGUGCGUCUAAAGCGAUGGAGGAGAGGAUGGAGUGGCCCGAUGGUCCGUCGCCAGGUGGAGUCGUCAAGUCUCGCAGUAGCUGCUUCGCCCUGGACGCAGCAGCUGAAGCGGAGUGCGAUGGUUGCGGCGGCGACGGCGACGAGGGCCGCAAUGUCAGCGAGCUGCUGCUACCGCAGUACGCGCUGGCGACCGGCGGCCUGGCCAGGGACCACCGGCCCCUCAUCACCUUCCCCGACAACAACAACUUCCACAUCAUCACCCCCUCAGAGUAUAGGCGGUUGCUGCUUUACCUCACCUCUGUGCCCUCGUUAUUGGAAGCAGACAUGGGCUUCCACAUUAUAAUAGACCGAAGAAAAGAUCGAUGGAACUCCGUCAAAACAGUAUUAUUAAGGAUCUCAGAAUUCUUCCCAGGAAUAAUUCACGCUGUGUACGUUCUUCGGCCAGCAAGUUUCCUACAGAAGGCGCUGUCAGAAGUCAGCAGUAAAUUAUUCAAAGAAGAGUUCAGGUUCCGGGUGCUAGUCUGUUCGUCGGUGGAAGAGUUGUACGAACACUUUGAUAGGUCACAACUGACGCCGGACCUGGGAGGGGAACUACAGUAUUCACACGCAGAGUGGAUACAGCAGCGGAUAGCACUAGAGAAAUUUUCUACAUUAAUGAAGGAAAUCUCAAGCAAAUUGGACGAGUUCAUGCAUGAGAUUGUAGACUGCGAUAUGGGAAACGACCCGACACAAACCAAAGAUUUAUUAGACUGUCAGGAAAAUAGGUAUAAAGCUUUAAAAACUGAACUAACGUCGGCAACGUCGCAAGGCGAAGAGUUACUGACGCAAGUGCGGAAACCAAACCUUACUUAUAAUAUUAUCAGCCAUGUCGCUGCGGUUGAGAGAUUACUGGUGCAACUGGAGGAGACUGAGAAACAAUUCGACUGUUUCUGGCAAAAACAUUCCACAAAGUUAAACCACUGGCUCAAAUUCAGAACGUUUUUAUUAAACUUUAAACAGAUGCAGGCUACUUUGGACAAUCAUCUAAAAGCAGCGUGCGAUAUGACGGAGGUGGGCGAAACUGCAAUCAGAGUGGACAGCCUUUUACAAGAAGCUGGUGACUUUGAGAAACUCUGCAACUGUGAUCUUGAUACUGCAACCUCGGUUAUUGAAGACGGUGAAAAAUUAAUGGAAGACCCGCUAAGUCAAGUCGACCACAUAGAAUCAAAAUGCGAGGAGCUACGACGAACGAGUGCUUUGCUAUUGGAUAAAAUACAGAAACGAAAUCUACUUCUGACCAAAGCUAGAGAACUCAUGGACAGGAUAGAUAAGGCGAACGAAUGGUGCGCGACUGGAGUCGAGAUCCUAGCCGGGGAAGGAGGUUUGAUAGCCGUAGACAAACUCUUGGAAGACGCCACCAGCUUCGGCCUCACCGCGCCCGAUCAGUUCCGGGACAUGCUGAUGCAGUCAGCUACACAGGAGACCAGGGCACUUGUUACACAGGUGGCACAAAGAGUAGAAGACGUAUGGCUGAUGGUGUCGGUGAAGAGAGCGUCGCUUCAACGCGCGGCCGCCAAGCCGGCGCGGCCCGUGCAGUCCGUGCCGCCGCAAAGUGCCGCCAUACCCGCCACCAACCACCAGAUGGAGACGUCGGGAGGGUCAGAGAGUUCUGGCGGAGAAGAUGCAGAGGCGCGGCGGUCGCGGCGCGGCCAUGUGCUCGCCGAGCUCAUGCAGACCGAGCGAGUCUACGUGCAGGAGCUCGGCUCCAUACUAGCUGGGUACAAAGAAGAGAUCGAAAAGCCAGAAAAUCAGCAAUUGUUGCCUGCAGCACUAGUGGGACAGGCCGAUGUGUUGUUCGGCAACCUACACGAACUGUUCACAUUCCACCAGGACGUGUUCCUCAAGGAUUUGGAGAAGUCUAUAUCUGCCACGGAACUCGUUGCCUUAUGUUUUGUUGAAAAGAGGGACACAUUCUUCCGGCUAUACAGCUACUAUUGCCAAAACAUCCCGCGGUCGGAGCGACUACGCGAGACACUAGUGGACACGCAUCUAUUCCUGCAAGCAUGUCAGUUGCGCCUCGGACACAAGCUGCCUCUCGCCGCCUACCUUCUCAAGCCCGUGCAGCGGAUAACAAAGUACCAGCUACUGCUUAAGGAUCUACUCCGGUAUAGUGAAUGCGGCUCAAUGACGACAGGCCUGCAGUCAGCCCUGGACUGUAUGCUCGUCGUACUCAAGUGUGUCAAUGACUCCAUGCAUCAGAUCGCCAUUACUGGCGUACCGCUGGACAUAAGCCAGCAAGGCGAGCUGCUGAUGCAGGGCUCGUUCCUCGUGGUGUCGGAGAACAAGCGCGACUUGCGUCUGCGCAUACGACCGCGCCGUCGACACAUCUUCCUCUACGAAAAGGCCAUGCUAUUCUGCAAGCCUGCUACCAAGAACAGUCACAAUAAAGCCACGUACCAUUUCAAACAUGACUUACAGAUGUCACAAAUCGGUCUGACGGAGUCGGUGAAGGGCGACCCGCGCAAGUUCGAGGUGUGGCGGCAGGGGCGCGCGGAGGUGCACACGCUGACGGCGGCGAGCGCCGACGUCAAGCGCGCCUGGGUGGAGCGCGUCAAGCGCGUGCUGCUCGACCAGCUCAACGAGCUCAAGGGCGAGCGCGUGCGCCAGUACAGCGCGCAGCACAGAACACUAAUACAAACGAGUUCAUGGGACCUCGGCCCGCCCAGCCAGCCGCAGAAGGCGAGCGCCGUCCCCAACCCGACGCGCACGGCGUCGUGUGAGGCGCACGACGAGCCGUGCUGGUCCACCGACCCCUCCGACGACGACGACGACGAGCCCGAACACCCGCCGGUGGCGGAGGCCGUGGGUCUCAACGGUACCAUACACAGAAUGGUACAGUUCUUUUCAGUGGCCGGCUCUGCACAGGCCACGUCCACGUUUUACGUGUCACAGUACUGAAUGUCCUAACUUACCACCAUGCUCCCCCCGGAGCCUUUGUACAUAAUGAAAAACGAGACUGAGUCAUAUCCAAAGUUUAAACUAUCUUACCAAAGAGAACGUGGAUAUUUCGGUUGUAUUCGCUGAACAUUAACUAUCGUGCGGUGGGGUGCGCGCUGGUGGCGCUGUCGGACUACACGGCCGUGGGGCCCAGCGAGGUGUCUCUGCGCGACGGCCAGCACGCUGAGCUGCUCAAGGUGGGCUGCGCCGGCUGGUGGUACGUGCGGCUCGCAG
rnacentral:misc_RNA from 1 species